AAUAAACUAAUUUUUCAUUUUUUAUCUACAAUUUUUAACUCUUCAUCUUAUUUAAAAAAUUUUUAUGUUUGAUAUUUUUUAUUAGAUGGUAAAUCAUGAAUAGUACUUUACGUGUAACUAAUUUUUUUUAAUUUCUUGAAAAUUUUUCCAAUAAGACGGAUGGUCAAAUGUUGGACACGAAAAUCAGAG
rnacentral:pre_miRNA from 1 species